rnacentral:rRNA from 1 species
UACGUAGGUGGCGGGCGUUGUCCGGAUUUACUGGGCGUAAAGAGCGCGCAGGCGGUCGUACAAGUCGCGUGUGAAAGCCCCCGGCUCAACUGGGGAGGGUCACGCGAUACUGUUCGACUCGAAGGCAGGAGAGGGAAGUGGAAUUCCCGGUGUAGUGGUGAAAUGCGUAGAUAUCGGGAGGAACACCAGUGGCGAAGGCGACUUCCUGGCCUGUUCUUGACGCUGAGGCGCGAAAGCUAGGGUAGCAAACGGG